rfam:Picea glauca, whole genome shotgun sequence.
ACAUGCCUACAACAUAGCGUUAAUGCACGAUAUCCCAUUAGAACUCCGCAGUUAAGCACACUCGAGCUAGGGUAGUACUGGGAUGGGUGACCGCCCAGGAAGUCCUAGUGUUUUACAUGCC